rnacentral:rRNA from 1 species
GUUGUAGAAACUUAAAGGAAUUGGCGGGGGAGCACCACAACGGGUGGAGCCUGCGGUUUAAUUGGACUCAACGCCGGGAAGCUCACCGGAUAAGACAGCUGGAUGAUAGCCGGGCUGAAGACUCUGCUUGACUAGCUGAGAGGAGGUGCAUGGCCGUCGUCAGUUCGUACUGUGAAGCAUCCUGUUAAGUCAGGCAACGAGCGAGACCCACGCCAACAGUUGCCAGCGUGUCCUCCGGGAUGACGGGGACACUGUUGGGACCGCCUCUGCUAAAGAGGAGGAAGGAAUGGGCAACGGUAGGUCAGCAUGCCCCGAAUUAUCCGGGCUACACGCGGGCUACAAUGGUCAGGACAAUGGGUAUCGACACCGAGAGGUGAAGGCAAUCUCCUAAACCUGAUCGUAGUUCGGAUUGUGGGCUGCAACUCGCCCACAUGAAGCUGGAAUCCGUAGUAAUCGCGUUUCAAAAUAGCGCGGUGAAUAUGUCCCUGCUCCUUGCACACACCGCCCGUAUGGUCAUAGCUGUUUACUACAACG